AGAAUCGUUUCCCUAGGAUACAAUCGCUAAUGUGCUGUAAGAGGUGCCGUUUUAACGUACCAAUUCAGUUAAAUACAACUCUGAAUGUGCUUCGGCGAACAGUCAAUCACACUGGAGUUGUGCAAGUUCACCUUAAGUGUAGACUACAAUACGAAUACAGUUUCAUGUCUGAAACGAUAAGACCAGCGAAGAUUUACAAAGCCGGAAGAUAUCUUGUAAUUACGGAACUCUACAAAAAACACAAACUAGUUCUUUUCAGGGAGUGGUUAAAUAGAAUGGAUUGUACAUAAGAACAACCCUUUGCUUCUAACGUUGAAGAUCUCAAACGUUACCAUUACAGAGAAUUUCCAUUGCCCCAGGUGAGGGACAACGACCAUUAGAUAUGCUCUUGGAUGAGGAUUCUGAUAAACUGUCAUAUCCGUCAAUAUACUGCGGUGUUAAAAAAAUGCACUGCUACUAUUGGAAAAAUUAUUAAGUCUGAAGUUCGGCGUUAUGACAGACGGUGUGCACGUGUGGAAAAAGUUUUAUAUUGCUGCUACAUGCUUGAGAAAAAAAAGAUGGAAAUAGACAAUUUACUGCUGCUGAAACUUGAGGUGAUCAACUCAUCCAAAACCUUGAGCAACAUGACGAUGGCUAUCAUAUAUUGAAAGUCACCAGCAUUGGGAAGGGGAAAGGAGAAAUGUUUUGGCCAUGAUUGUUUGGACUCCCUACAAUUUUAAACCUUAAUCCGCAGCUGAAUCCCAAUGGCUUGA